rfam:Sphingobium sp. MI1205 chromosome 1, complete sequence.
CGUGCGGGCCGGGCCCCUCUGGCGGAUGGCUUCCUUUGGGAAGCUGGACGUGAUGUCGGACCGCAUCG